rnacentral:rRNA from 1 species
UCCGUAGGUGGAUAAUUAAGUCAGAGGUGAAAGUUUGCAGCUCAACUGUAAAAUUGCCUUUGAUACUGGUUAUCUUGAAUUAUCGUGAAGUGGUUAGAAUAUGUAGUGUAGCGGUGAAAUGCAUAGAUAUUACAUAGAAUACCAAUUGCGAAGGCAGAUCACUAACAAUAUAUUGACACUGAUGGACGAAAGCGUGGGGAGCGAACAGGAUUAGAUACCCUGGUAGUCC